GAUGAACGCUGGCGGCGUGCUUAACACAUGCAAGUCGAACGAGAAGUGAAGACGGAACCCUUCGGGCGGAAGGCUUUAUUUCGAGUGGCGGACGGGUGAGUAACGCGUGGGUAACCUGCCUCAUACAGGGGGAUAACAGUUGGAAACGACUGUUAAUACCGCAUAAGACCACAGCACCGCAUGGUGCGGGGGUAAAAACUCCGGUGGUAUGAGAUGGACCCGCGUUCGAUUAGCCAGUUGGCGGGGUAACGGCCCACCAAAGCGACGAUCGAUAGCCGAUCUGAGAGGAUGACCGGCCACAUUGGGACUGAGACACGGCCCAAACUCCUACGGGAGGCAGCAGUGGGGAAUAUUGCACAAUGGGGGAAACCCUGAUGCAGCGACGCCGCGUGAGUGAAGAAGUAUUUCGGUAUGUAAAGCUCUAUAAGCAGGGAAGAAAAUGACGGUACCUGAGGAAGAAGCCCCGGCUAACUACGUG
rnacentral:rRNA from 1 species